rnacentral:lncRNA from 1 species
ACCGGAGUGGGUUCGAGAUCCACGCGGGCGACUCCUACGCCAGCCAUGGCAGCAGCAGUAGCGGCCACGGAGGACACGGAAAGGGCAUCACGUUCACCAUUGGCGGCGGAGACCACCACGGAGGAGGAGGCCACCACGACUACGGCGUCAGUCCGAUGGGCGUCAUCAAGAACCUAUUCCUGCCGUUCCUGCCUAAGCCAAAGGUGAACCUCAAUGGGCGGGUCGUGUUCGGCGUCGUGCUCGAGAAGGGCGUGGGCCUGGGUCACAACCAGCACGGACAGCAGCACCACCACGCAGUGGCCUACCAUCACUGAGUCAACGACAAUCGUGUCCGCUUCCACUCACUCGCACCCACUACGCAACUGGACAGGCGAUGGCAUACAGCGAGAAAAACCUCCCGCUGCUCGUGACGUUAUUACCGUACUGUAGAGCAAACUUGUUCUGCAUGACACCUCAGAGGAAAGGCCUUCAACUGGGCACGCCCAGCCGGAACCAAUGUGGACUGAGCUUUCCCUCAAAGGGACCAAACAUUGUUGAAAAACAAGAAGUUCCGCCGUUGCAUGAUGCUGUGUAGGACUCUACCUUUUCUUGUCAGACACUUAUAUAGCACGUCAGGAGUCCUCUUCUGGCCAUGUUGUUAAAUUCGCCAUCUUGUACACCCUGAUUGUCCAAGAGGGCUGUAACAGCCUCUCUGAUUGGCUUAAAAUGUCACAUUUACGCAAUUUUACAAUAUGGCGGAAUUUGACAGUGUCCAGAAUAGCACCCCAGGUCGACUGGAGAGUUCUGCUCGAUCUAGUUGAUAGCUCUUCAUUGGGCAUGAUCCUUAAACCCACCCCUAACGAUGUCUCACGACUAGGUUCGGGCAAGAGCUUACUAUUAUGUAAAUAGCAUAUUAAAAUGUCACAUAUAAAAGCUAUUUCACUGCCACUAUUGCCAGAGUUAUAUAAAGCGGCACUGUCAACAAUGACUCGAAACGUUUUCGACGGUGUACACUGCACAAUGUGCUCACAGAAGAAAAAGCUCCUAGCAGACAAAACAAGUGCCUCAAAAAGUGUCGAAAUAUGUCAGAGGUAAAUGUUGUUUUGAAACGGCCUGCUGUCUACAAGCGUUAUCUCCGCAGGGCAUGCUGUAGUUGUAACCGGCAUGGUUCCCUGCCAGACUAAAGUUCGACAGAUUAAUUUGUAGCAUUAUCUACCAGGUGAUUACUCUGUAGUGUAUACACUUGGUUGUCGGACGCACAUUUCUCGUGUAGAUGUGAUGACGGCCAUGCUCGAUGAUUUCUGUGAACGCGUUUGCGUAAUCUCGCCUAAGUCAGCGAAUAAGGUCGUAAUUGCAUUUACAAAACUUCUGAAAAAAACAAUGUGCAUACGUCGAGACCACCUUAGGGGUUGAAAAGAGUCAUGUCCAACGGUGAAAGACAACCGAGCUUAAUUUAUAACAACGUGGCGAAUCUUUGGCAUGUACCAUAUAGUAAAAUGUGUGCGUUUGUAACCAGUUAUAGAAAAAUUCUAACCAGUAGAAGUGCCUUGAUCUUACGUCACGUCCAACUGAACACGGCCCUUUCUAUCGAAAAGCGCCGGCUGUGUGCUGCCGUUCUGUCUAAAGCGCACAUUCCAUCUGUGUCGCCAGUGGGUCCAGGUGAAUCACCAAGCACCAGGGUGAUGUCCUGCUCUUACAAAGUGCAGGUUGAGACGCCACAACUCUCCUCUUGAACAUAUAGCCGAGAAUUCACAUCACGAGCGAGCCGCGAUCACUCUUUUAACCAGGAAAAAUCCGUCGCGGUUUACGACAUCACAAGCCGCGCGUAACCCACGAGGUGUUUUUCACCCUCUGUUCACUAUACUGACUCACCACAUGGGUGUGCAGGUACAAGAAGUCACGCCUUAACUCCUCAAAAACGCGUGCUCGCCCGAGUUGGGAAAGUCACAGUACUAAACAAACACUCAUCAAUCACGCAUCCGUCAUUGUCACUUCAUUGACAGGGUAGGAGAAAGGUGUAAUGCAGGCAGAAGGAGUUGGAUAAAGCAUAGCUGUAGAAGCUGUUCGCAUACAUGUCGUUAGAAUUAAAGAAAAAAAUUCUCUUGACCACGGCGCUUGCGCAUUUCGGUUUUGUUCAUCGCGAGUUGAACAGCUACAGCGGAGAAGGAAUAGAACAAGUGACCGUAGGGGCAAAAUGGCCGCGUUCGGCACUCUUGUUUCCGAGCAUACUGAUAACCAUAGAGUUUCCUACAAUAUUUAAUAUUAUGAAUAUCUGCGCCAAUAACGAGUGGCACGCAAUAUCCAUGGUUUAAAGCGAGGUUGGCCGGCCAUACCGCCCUGAAGCCAGCAUCUGAAAAAUAAACGCUCCGCACAUGUCCUCGGUCAGUUGUUCUAAUCUUUUCGCUGCAGCGGUACUUCUGGGGUAAGCGAGAUCGUUUUGCGAUGUGGUUAAAUUGAUUCACAUAUUGUUAGUCGUCUGAAGCGCCAGACUGAAACGCGGUGAUCGCAUUGCUGUUCAGUUAUCUUGUUAUGAGCUUUGUUAUGCAAUGAGUGACCGCUAUCAGUCAAAUCAGUUCACGUUAAUUAUUACACCCACGAAUUAAACUGACCAGGAAGAGCAGAAAGUGUUCCCAAUAAAAUACGCAAAUUAUCUUUGUUACUGCACUUCAGCUAUAGGUUUAAUGAGCCACGAGGAGUAAUUGCCAUUGACUAAUUGCAUUUCAAUAGGUCACAACGUAUUAAUAAUGAGCAACAGAAACGUACCUUAGUAUUGUUCAUUACAAAUGGUAAUGGCGUCAUCACAUUUAACAUUUCAUUCCCUUUCUGUUACUGAAAGAAGAACAUAGAUGAUGUAAAGACUUUCAUGAUGCUCUUUUUCAAGUGACAACAACGCAACGGUAAUGCAGCAGAAAGGCGCGAUUAUUGCAAAGCUUCCUUUUUUUUUUUUUAGUGCAAGUUGUCAAGGGUCAGUGCUUACUUUGAUAGCCUGUAAUGUAGCAUUAUGAAUGGUAGUUUUCAGGUUGUGUGGCUAGCGAGUCCAUUUACGUUACGUGCGCGCAGCAGUCGGCCUCUCUCGUUGUUGUGGUUUUCGGUGAACAAAAACAAUUUAGUGCCCUUCUUUCGUCGUGCCCUCCAUUCUCAAGUUGCAUCACCGCUGCGUUGUUGGUUUUUUUUCACCGAAAACCGUGCCGAGCCUAACGAUGGAGGCCGCUGCUGCCAGUGUAGCAUCAGUGAGCGAGAGAUGCGGAGAGCUGUGGUUGAAAUGGUCGAGGUAAGGGGAAAUGAAAAAUCGGGUGUUGCAAAUUGGUUCUGCGGAAGGUGGCCGAAGGAAUUAAGGAAGGGAAAUAGACAACCACCCGAUUGUAGCACGAAGCCACAAGGAAAUACAUACGGAUUUUCAGAAAGAAAACUGCUUAGUUGCCGCAAAAUUCGUCCUGGUCCGGCGAUCGAACCCGGGACCAACGCCUUUCCGGGCGGUCGCUCCACCGUUCGUACUAGUGCGGGGUCGAACGAAUUUUUCGGCAACUAAGAAGUUUUCUUCUGACAAAUCCGUAUGGAUUUCCCUGUGGCUUCGUGCUACAAUCGGGUGGUUGUCAAUAUUCCUUUCUUUAAAAAAAUCAGGUGAUUCACCCUGAGAUGAGCUAAAAGGUCGAUAGCGAAAACCCGCAGGGAAUUAUGCUGUAACGAGAAAUUCACGCGUAACGAACAUUUGGACUGAAAGAACGUAGUGCCAUGUUGGCUAGAGAAGCUCGCUCUAGCGGGGAAAAUGCGGCAACACCACGUUACAUGCAUUUGACGGGUAAUCGAUGGCGGAGUUGAUCCGCUGCAUAUUGUCUUCCUGUUCAAUGUUCGCAAGCCCGAUUCUUCGUCCACCAAAUUUCAACGCUAGCAUGUUUCAGCAGCCGAGUUUGGGUUUAGGCUAGGUCACGUCGAUGUUGGCCUGUAACAGCUUCAUAACUACUGAGGGACCACCUCUGAUGUACUUUCUGACCAGGUUCCUGUCGAAUACCGAUUUAAUUCGCCGCGAGGCUCGCCUAUUCGAGGCAGCUUUGGAGUUAUCCACUGAAUGCAAGUUCGCUUUCAAUUUCGCGUACGAAUCCGUCUCUCGCUUGCACUUCCCAGCUACCUGGUUGAACGUGCUCGGAUAGCAACAAAACAUACCGACGAAGUUUGAUUGCGCUGUUGGCAUAAUACGAUCCAUAGUCAGCUGACGAGCUUUGCACCCGCGUGUUCGUUCCGAGGUUCUUGGCAUUUCUGGGCAUGUACAUGUGUAUCAUACAAACAUGUGUAUCUACAUUUCCACUUUUCACUUUCGUUCUGCAGACGCAACUCAUAAUUAUAUUGAGAAUUAUAUCUUCACUUAUUUUUGUUUUACGAGGCUAUUGACAUCGUGUUGAUUGAGCAAAAAUGUCUUCGUUAUUUCUUCUAACAUUUUUUGUCCUGAGAAGUUCUUUUUAUAAGAAAAACAGUAAUCACAAACGAUAAGCAUUGGCGAGGUGUCAUCGUGGUAUACGACUAAGGGUAACGGAUGCUUCUUUCAAGACACGGCUUGGAUCACGUUGAGUAGUGCUUGGUUUUCUUAACGAUGUCGACACAGUUUGCUUUUGUUUACCAGAGCUUCCUGGUAACCUUAGUGUUGUAGAACUUGUUUCGCACUUUCCUUAUGUUCCCCGACCUUUAUUUUCUUUCUCGAACCUAAGUUUUUUUUAUUAACGGAGGUGAACUGCAGUCGCUUCUGUACGAGAUGUUUCCGGCAUUUUGUAAAGAAAAAUUAUUUUUUAUAUGGCCAUGUGCGUCGCCGGAGUGUACAGUAUAGUGAUGCCCUGGUCGUUUCUGCGUGAAAGGUUUCUUUAUUUGCAUUCCAUCUUGUUCUUUUGUUUUUUGUUCUCUGCCUGUGUCCUAAGCGGAUGAUGCUCUUGUAUAUGUCACGCGCGCUCUCAAUAAAAGAAAAUGUACUUCCGA